rnacentral:sRNA from 1 species
AAUAAAAUAAAGAAAAAU